AUGGGAUUUUUGCUCCUGUUCGUUUUCGCUGUAGCCGCUUUGGAAGGUGUCCGGUCCCAGGUGCAGCUGGUGGAGUCCGGAGGAAACGUGAAAAAGCCCGGAGACUCUCUCCGCCUCUCCUGCAAAGCCUCCGGGUUCACCUUCAGCAGCUAUGAUAUGAGCUGGGUCCGGCAGGCUCCCGGGAAGGGGCUGGAGUGGGUUUCACUCAUUUACACUGAUGGGAGCCAACAGUUUUACGCAGACUCAGUGAAAGGCCGAUUCACCAUCUCCAGAGACAACCCCAACAACCUGCUGUAUCUGCAAAUGACCGGCCUGAAGCCCGAGGACACCGCCCGGUAUUACUGUGCGAGAGACACAGUGAGGAGAAGCCGGGCUGAGCUCAGACAAGAACCUCUCCCUGCAGUGAUCAGAGAAGCGGACCCUCUUCACUUCACCGUGCUGGGAUACAUUCAUGGAGGUUAA